UGUCACUGUUGUGUUUACUAAUCCGAUGGACUCCUCGAAGAAAUGGCUUCUCUCUGAAAAAAAUGUUGAACUGAAAUAGUUUAUCAGCGUUUUAUUGUACAGCAUCUUCACAAACAACAGAAUGCAACGCAACUGACAUAUUGAGGCAUUUCUGGGCAGUGGAGUGUUAAACGGCCCCGGCAAGAGUGGCUCCCCCCACACGCGCUCGCUGCCAGACAGACCAAAUUCUACUUUAACUCCAGGAAAGAUGAAAUGCUGCCUCUCAUGAGGGUUGCUGUCUAUCCGGCAUCUCGUCGACAUUUAUGGAAGAAGAACUCGCCGUUGCGCGGUUUCCGCACGACUGACAAGCUCUGAAAAACGCAACGGUUGACAAAACAUUAUUGAAGAAGCUGUCCCCAGGCUAUACAGUACACCAGCCCCAGAUGCCGGAGAAAAUGACUCAUGCAAAGUGGAGCCUGUCAAGCCAAUGAGGAUGGAAGAGGAAGACAGGGCCGCCGAAAUGAGGGUAUCUGGGGUCCGUCUGGAGGAACUGUUGGAUUACACAGCAUUCUGUUAGGUUAAAUAGGAGGUUUGCUCGUCUGAUUUAGUCUGAGUGGAGAGCAGCUUCCUGCUGUGGUGAAGUCCCUCCACCUCCAGGGCAUCACCACUCAAAAGGGUCCGAGAGAGAGAGAAAUACACAGUAAACAGAUGUGCAUGAUGGCUGACUGACAACCUUCACAGCUGGUGCCACAAUAAUUUUGAAAAGAAUACUGUUUUAAAAAGAGAGAGAAAAGAAGCUGCUGCUCAAAGACAGAGAAGCAGGAAACACUUCUGGCAGCGAGAAUUUCCUGAGAGCGAAUCGAGAGGAUGGCUGCGGUGAACGCCGGCCCAGAAUGCACCACAGGAAGUGUCUGCGAGACUCCAGAAGCAGAGGUCAAGGCCAGGGGUCAACGGGUGGCACAGCAGAGAUUUACGCCGAGAGCAAACCCAGCCCGUUCCCAGCCUUCAUCCAUUUCCCGGGGAAAUUAGCCAUAAAGUCUCCGUUUUCAUCUUUCAAGAGCCGCAGGGGUGGUGAGGAGGAUGUUGUCGCUGACUUUUGAAGCAUCUGACAGGGCGAGCGAGAGGAGGGGUGAAACUGAUCCCGACACUGACAUGCAGAGACCUCCGGGGUCAAAGGUCACGACCCUGGUAACGCAAAGGUACGGACGGCCCGGGAGGAUUGUGACGAGCUGUGUGUGACCGACUCUCGCUGCCAGUGAGCUCAAAAAAUUUUCAUGUCUUGCAUGCAACUGGCACGGUGUGAAUCCUCAUGUCUGCACAUGGAGUCUCACGCAGACAGACACCUCCGGUUCAAGCUCAGAGCGUUAAGGCAGUCCAAAGCCGAGGGCUUCCCUUCAUCCAGAUGUGAUUGGAUGGUUCAGCACCUCUCAAGAGCCUGAUGAAUAUUCAAAGAUCCAGGGUAGAGGAGAUGCCAGCAUGACUUUUUUUCUUUUUGAGAGGGAAAGUGCAUUUAUCAACAGCAGAUUUAAAGGUCAGUAUCUGUGGAUGCAAAGCACUUGGUGUCAUAAAUUAUAAUCCUGAAAACUCAAGGUCAAUUAUUGACAAUUUAUCAUGCAUUCUCAAGAAGUGCUAUUAAAAGUGUGAUGUGUGUCAGAAUCAGGGCGUUUUUAGCAUGCAUUUUACUAUUACAUGACCUUUUUUUUUUUUUUUUUGUAAAGUAGCACAAACUAAUUGUGAAGUGCAAGCUGCUCAUGCCAGGCAAAACGAGAGAGACAUUAGAAGAAUGAGUGCAGCACCAUCUGUGGGCAGGAAGUGAUGAGGCGAAACUUGGCGAAAACGUGACGUGCAGCGGCUCCAGUGGAGGAUCCAGACUCGUCUCUGGUGUGUGUGGGCCAUGGAGGACUCAUCUGGAGAUCCAGCCUGGACGGGGGGAGACGCUGAGAGUCGCGCUUCUCUCGUUGGGCCUUUCGCAUGCUUAUUAACUUCAAUCCAGCAGCCUGGCUGCAACAAACUCAUGCCAAAUCACUCAAACAUUUGCACUGCCUUUGUGUUCCUCACCUGCACACACUGGGCUGUUUUCUUUUCUAUUCUUCUAUUCUUUUAGAUAAAAAUGUAAAAAAAAAAAAAAAAAAAAAGUAGUGUCAUAUAACAAGGAAACAAUUUAAGCACGCAUAACAGUAAUUUGAUUAAACAAUCAUAACUUCAUUGAAGAGCAAGUUCCACAUGAACAGGCAAUUAAUUUUACUUCUGUAAUGUUGUUUAUUUCCAAGUGCAAUAGGACUUAUCUAUUGGGAACUGAUUGGUAAAAAUAAAAUGUCAAAAACAUACUUAAGCAGUCAUAAUCCCAAUUUCAUUGAAGAGCAAGUUCCACAUGAAAAGGCAUUUGCAAACCAUUUUAAUUCUGUAAUGUAAUGGAUUUUCAAGUCAGAGUGGAACUUUUGAAAAAUAUAUGACUUUUAUCUCUUGAGAUUGUACUGAUAAAUGUACAAAAA
ensembl:lncRNA